rnacentral:rRNA from 1 species
GACGAACGCUGGCGGCGUGUUUAACACAUGCAAGUCGAACGAAGUGGCGAACGGGUGAGUAACGCGUAAUCAACCUGCCCUUCAGAGGGGGACAACAGUUGGAAACGACUGCUAAUACCGCAUACUGAAGGAGGGGAUUGCGUAUGAUUAGCUAGUUGGAGGGGUAACGGCCGACCAAGGCUAUGAUCAGUAGCCGGUCUGAGAGGAUUAACGGCCACAUGUGGACUUAUACACGGCCCAGACUCCUACGGGAGGCAGCAGUGGGGAAUCAUCCGCAAUGGAAGAGAGUCUGACGGAGCAACGCCGCGUGAGUGAUGACGGCCUUCGGGUUGUAAAGAUCUGUUAAUCGGGACGCGGUACCGGAAUAGAAAGCCACGGCUAACUACGUGCCAGCAGCCGCGGUAAUAC